rnacentral:rRNA from 1 species
UACGGGGGGGGCAAGCGUUGUUCGGAAUUACUGGGCGUAAAGGGCUCGUAGGCGGCCAACUAAGUCAUACGUGAAAUCCCUCGGCUUAACCGGGGAACUGCGUCUGAUACUGGAUGGCUUGAGUUCGGGAGAGGGAUGCGGAAUUCCUGGUGUAGCGGUGGAAUGCGCAGAUAUCAGGAGGAACACCGAUAGCGAAGGCAGCUCGCUGGGACGGUACUGACGCUGAGGCGCGAAAGCGUGGGGAGCGAACAGG